CUCCGGCUCGCCGAAGUUCUUUUACAUGAACGUGCCUUCCGCGCUCAAGACCUCCGCCGUGCUGCCGCGCACCUCCGGCCUGGCGCGCUUCUUCGACAACCUUCGCAAAACUC
rnacentral:ribozyme from 1 species